rnacentral:rRNA from 1 species
GGCAUCACAUGAAGUAGCAAUACUUGAUGGUGGCGACCGGCGCACGGGUGAGUAACGCGUAUGCAACCUGCCUACAACAGGGGGAUAACCCGUUGAAAGACGGACUAAUACCCCAUAACACAGGGGUCCCGCAUGGGAAUAUUUGUUAAAGAUUUAUCGGUUGUAGAUGGGCAUGCGUUCCAUUAGCUAGUUGGUGAGGUAAGGGCUCACCAAGGCAACGAUGGAUAGGGGAACUGANAGGUUUAUCCCCCACACUGGUACUGAGACACGGACCANACUCCUACGGGAGGCAGCANUGAGGAAUAUUGGUCAAUGGGCGCAAGCCUGAACCAGCCACGUCGCGUGAAGGAAGACGGCCCUACGGGUUGUAAACUUCUUUUGUAAGGGAAUAAAGUGCAGUACUCGUACUGUUUUGCAUGUACCUUACGAAUAAGG